AUUGAACGCUGGCGGCAGGCCUAACACAUGCAAGUCGGACGGUAGCACAGAGGAGCUUGCUCCUUGGGUGACGGGUGGCGGACGGGUGAGUAAUGUCUGGGGAUCUGCCCGAUAGAGGGGGAUAACCACUGGAAACGGUGGCUAAUACCGCAUAACGUCGCAAGACCAAAGAGGGGGACCUUCGGGCCUCUCACUAUCGGAUGAACCCAGAUGGGAUUAGCUAGUAGGCGGGGUAAUGGCCCACCUAGGCGACGAUCCCUAGCUGGUCUGAGAGGAUGACCAGCCACACUGGAACUGAGACACGGUCCAGACUCCUACGGGAGGCAGCAGUGGGGAAUAUUGCACAAUGGGCGCAAGCCUGAUGCAGCCAUGCCGCGUGUAUGAAGAAGGCCUUCGGGUUGUAAAGUACUUUCAGCGGGGAGGAAGGCGGUGAGGUUAAUAACCUCGCCGAUUGACGUUACCCGCAGAAGAAGCACCGGCUAACUCCGUGCCAGCCGCCGCGGUAA
rnacentral:rRNA from 1 species